CGCACCACGACACCUGGCUAAUUUUUUGUAUUUUUGGUAGAGAGAGGGUUUCACCAUGUUGCCCAGGCUGGUCUUGAGCUCCUGAGCUCAAAGUAUUUGCUUGCCUCAGCCUCCCAAAGUGCUGGGGUUACAGGCGUGAGCCACCGUGCCAGGCCUUUAAUUCUUAAUUGCCGCCAGGAUUGAUUGGUAAGGCUGUAGAAGAGUUGCUGUCCAUUCCAAGUCUUCCCAUCUGAAGCAACCACCAUGCCACAGCCUUAUUCUGUCCCAUGGCUGUUUUGUGCAUCUCCAAGUGUACCAGUGUGAGGCCCUCAAACACACCCAUGCCCUCUGAUGAAAUAAUGUUGGUCGUGAUAACCACAGGGAUGUCACAGCCGCCGUUCCACACUCUAACUAAUUCUUAUUUUGUUCCAACAACAACAAUUUGAAAUGGGAAGAACCACCCCAUUUUAGACAUUUCAAAACGAGGGCUUGGAUAGAUUAUGUACCUUGUCCAAGGUCACACAACCAAAUGGCAAGGUACGGACUCAACCUAGUUCCAUCUGCCUCCAGUCCAAAACCCAGAGCUCUCAACUGCCACCCUCAUUGUCUCUACUAGAUACGGGCUUCCCUGCGGUAACUGUUGAGGCUGGAAAACACAGGCCUGAGAGAACUUUUAAAUAUGAAAUGAUAACUCUUUGCCUACUGAGAUUCUUAUUUUUAAAAACCCAGAGGAAGAUCAUAUUUAUAUAUUUAUUCAACAUUCACGUAUGAUAUUUAGAUUUACAAAAUGCUUUAUAGUGUAACAGAAUGGGCAGAAAUUUUUACUCGGGCUUAUAAUUGUCUUUUCUUUCAUAUUCAUUUAUUCCUUUGAUUUAUAUAAUGUGUUCUCUGCUUGGUCUUCUGAGAUUACGUACAAUGGUAACAAAUCGAAAAUAAUAUUAAUAAAAGAUUAUUUUGUAUCACUCACAGGGAAAACUGACUGGGGCCAUGCGCCUCUCUGUUCUUUAGAAACGUUAUGCGAGAGAACAUAAUAUUGUCCCCAGAAUACUGUCUGUAAUGCCGGCUAUGCUUAUUCGUGGUGCUUUAAAAAUAAAUUUAACUCCUGUUCUUCAUUU
rnacentral:lncRNA from 1 species